rnacentral:rRNA from 1 species
UUCUUUAAAUGGGGACUUGUAUCAACGGCACCACGAGGGUUAGACUGUCUCCUUUUUCAAAUCAGUGAAAUUAAUCUCCCCGUGAAGAAGCGGGGAUACUCAUAUAAGACGAGAAGACCCCAUGGAGCUUCAAACCCAACUACACCCCUAGCUCUUAUAGCCCCACAACCCCCCUAGGCACCGUGUGCUUGGUUUUAGGUUGGGGCGACCGCGGAGUACAAUAAAACCUCCACAAUGAAUGGGAACACCCCCUUAUCUGAGGGCCACACCCCCUAAGAAUUAGAACACUAACAUAAAAUGAUCCAUUACUUGAUCAAUGAACCAAGUUACCCUGGGGAUAACAGCGCAAUCCAUUUCA